UUGAAUGUCACUCAUUUGAAUAUGUAGAUUGGAAGCCACUGCAAUCCAAGUGACCUCCUUUUCACCUUCCCCCAAAGUAGACCACAGCUGCUCUGGAACUGAUCUGCAAGACCACACACUGUGCAGUUGCUUUGGCAACCAACACAUAUUCUGUCCCAUUUGAGCGCUAGUUGAAAUGGUUUCUGCAAUGGCAUCGCUACGCAGAGUUGGAACUAAAAUGUCACAGCGUGCUAAAACCCCAGAUGUGGCAGACACUCAAAUCCAGUGAUUACCUGAAGAGCCAGUGUGAGCCUUUGUGCCAUACCCAAACCUCUUCAAGACUAAGCCCUUGAUCUUGAUGUCAGUUUGUAAGACUAACACUUUGAUGGAGGUGAGAGACUCAUGUAUGAAUAGUGAUGGAGGAGCCAUGGAGCUAGAAGUUCUAGAUCCCAUAUAUUGUGGAAUUUUGGUGUAAUAAUUGGAGUUCAGGCUAAGUUUGAAGUCGACACCCCCUGACUAAGCAGAACACUGACAAGAUGUGACAUCUCUGCCAACUUGAGGAUCUACUUUGGCCUGGGAAAAUUGGAAGAGACCUUGUAAUGGAAGCGAGGACACCAAGAAGUAUAACAAAAGAUAUCUG